rnacentral:lncRNA from 1 species
GCUCACUCUGCCCAUAUGUCAUUAUACGCUCAAUCAAUUAGGCAUUAAUUAUGAGGAUAUUUCUAAUAGAAUCAUGAUCUUGAAAGAUUGUAGGUGAUCAAUAAAAAGAAUUUGCUAAUAUAGAAGUGACAAAAAGAGAUAUACAUAGAGAAAGAAGAUACAAUAAGACGUAAUAGAAGGAAGCUCAAACAGAUAUACAUAGAAAGAAGAUACAAUAAGAAGUAAUAUGAGGAAGCUAAAAAUUUUACGUAUUCAAGAUAUGCAUUUUUGUAGCUACAGGUGUUGAAGCUACAAGUUUUUUACAGUCUUU